AAAGCUCAAAUUUGAAACCCUCGGGAUUGUAAUUUGAAGAUUUGGCAUUGGAGAAAGCUAACCCAAGUUGCUUGGAAUAGUACGUCAUAGAGGGUGACAACCCCGUCUGGCUAACCGUUCUCCAUGUAUUGCCUUAUCAAAGAGUCGAGUUGUUUGGGAAUGCAGCUCAAAGUGGGUGGUAAACUCCAUCUAAAGCUAAAUACUGGUGAGAGACCGAUAGCGAACAAGUACUGUGAAGGAAAGGUGAAAAGAACUUUGAAAAGAGAGUGAAAUAGUAUGUGAAAUUGUUGAUAGGGAAGGAAAUGAGUGGAGAGUGGCCGAGGUUUCAGCCGCCCCUCGUGGGCGGUGUACUGCCGACGCCGAGUCAUCGAUAGCGAGACGAGGGUUACAAAUGGGAGCGCCUUCGGGCGUUCUCCCCUAACCCUCCACACUGCCACCGACGACAUAAUCCACCCAUUUCACCCGUCUUG
rnacentral:rRNA from 1 species